rnacentral:rRNA from 1 species
CAGUCGCCACGGGAAAACGGAGGGAGCUAGCGUUGUUCGGAAUUACUGGGCGUAAAGCGCACGUAGGCGGUUAUUCAAGUCAGAGGUGAAAGCCCGGGGCUCAACCCCGGAACUGCCUUUGAAACUAGAUGACUGGAAUCUUGGAGAGGUCAGUGGAAUUCCGAGUGUAGAGGUGAAAUUCGUAGAUAUUCGGAAGAACACCAGUGGCGAAGGCGACUGACUGGACAAGUAUUGACGCUGUGGUGCGAAAGCGUGGGGGGCAAACAGGAUUAGAUACCCCCGUAGUCCCUGUCUCUUAUAC